rnacentral:rRNA from 1 species
UUUUAGUUUGACUUCCCGAAACUAAGCGAGCUACUUCAAAACAGCUUUUAGAGCCAACCCGUCUCUGUUGCAAAAGAGUGGGACGAUUUUCAAGUAGAAGUGACAAGCCUACCGAGCUUAGAAAUAGCUGGUUAUUCAAGAAAAGAAUUUAAGUUCUGCCUUAAAUCUUCUUGUUUUAUCAAAAACCUCUAUAGAUUUAAGAGUUAUUCAAGUAAGGCACAGCUUACCUGAAACAGGAUACAACCUAAACUAUUGGGUAAACUUAUUUUUCUAUAAUCAAGUGGGCCUAAUAGCAGCCACCUUUUAAAAAGCGUUAAAGCUUAAUUAUUUUAUUUUAAUAAUACCAUUAUUUUUUAUUAACCCUUUAUUACUAUUGAAUGAUUCCAUAUUCCUAUGGAAGACCCCAUGCUAGAACUAGUAACAAGAAUNNNNNUUUCUCCAAAAUGUAAGUGUANNNNNNNNNNNNCAAUAUAAUGAUAAUUAACGAAUAUGAUUUUUAUGUAAUAACUUAACAAGAAAACCUUACAACAAUUCUCGUUAAUCUAACACUAGAACAUUACCGGAAAGAUCAACAGAGAAAGAAGGAACUCGGCAAACCUUAACCCCGCCUGUUUACCAAAAACAUCGCCUCUUGAUAAAAUAUAAGAGGUCCAGCCUGCCCAGUGACAAAGUUCAACGGCCGCGGUACCCUAACCGUGCGAAGGUAGCAUAAUCACUUGUUCUUUAAAUAGGGACUAGUAUCAACGGCACCACGAGGGUUAUACUGUCUCCUUUCUCCAAUCAGUGAAACUGAUCUCCCCGUGAAGAAGCGGGGAUAAUUAUAUAAGACGAGAAGACCCCAUGGAGCUUCAAACCUUCAGCAACUUUUAACUUACAAAUCCUAAUAUCUUAAAAGCUAUGCCUACCGGUUUUGGGUUGGGGUGACCGCGGAGAAAAAAUUAACCUCCAUGACGAACAGAACUAAAUCUUUAUCUAAGAGCUACUACUCUAAGAAUCAGUAAACUGACGUAAAAUGACCCGAUUAUCGAUCAACGAACCAAGUUACCCUGGGGAUAACAGCGCAAUCCACUUUGAGAGCUCAUAUCGACAAGUGGGUUUACGACCUCGAUGUUGGAUCAGGGUAUCCCGGUGGUGCAGCCG